AGAUUGAAUUUGUUUUCAUUCUAGUGGUCAAACAAUAAUACUGAACGGCUAUUUGGUGCAUUGGUGCUGUUGGUAAUUCUUCUGAUAAUAAAACUGCAUUUAAAAGUUACCAAAGAAUCGCUUCUGGUGAUAGCAUCUCUUGGGAUACAGUUGACCACAACAUUUGCUUCAGGAAGAACAACAACCCAAUUUGUUGAGGCCACACAUGUACAUGAUGUUAUCAUUAAUGAAGCUGUCACCAUGCACAGGAUAAUCUUCUACUUGGCCAUAUUACAAAACGGCAUCAAUUAUCAAAACAAAACUGAGAGGUUAAUGCCCUUAUUUCAGAACUUUUAUCCUCGGCUGGAUUGUUUACGGAAAAUCUAUGAAGGUGUGCAGAAGGUGUUAUUUCACAAAUCUAAGGACACCCUUGUUGAUAUAAAGUUUACCUGAUAAUAACUGAUCUCAAAUGUUGAUAACGUUACAUAAUAUCAGGGGUAAAUAAAAGUUGUCAUUAUCUACCCCUGAUUAUAUCAAUGUGGUUUUCCAAUGUGUAUGCAUAAAUAAUCUAGCAUAAUAAUCUAUAUAUGUACAUAUUGUAAAUGUGUUUCACUUAAAGCAUUGACAUGAAAUU
rnacentral:misc_RNA from 1 species